GCGGGCGUAGUUCAGUGGUAGAACGCCUGCUUCCUCAAGCAGGAGGUCGCGGGUUCAAGUCCCGUCGCCCGCU
rnacentral:tRNA from 1 species